GGCUGGAGCCCGCGGCUUUAGGCUGGAUCGCAGCAAUGUCUCCUGAACGACCGAUGCCAUGGAUCAACCUGAAGAGGAGCGAAAAAUUAUUCAGCAGCUGGGAUAUGCAUGGAAAACCUUCAUUGACAACAAAGGGGGUCAGUUGGGAGCGACGAAACGGAUGGCUGUUGGGGCGGUGGCGGUGAAGCUCGGCGACGGGCGCUCAGACCGACACCGGGCAGGUGAUCACCCUGUCCUCCAGCAUGACGCUGACCACCAGGAAGACGAA